rnacentral:rRNA from 1 species
UCCGGGUUGAUCCUGCCAGAGGUUACUGCUAUCGGUGUUCGACUAAGCCAUGCGAGUCAUAUGUUCUUCGUGAACAUGGCGGACUGCUCAGUAACACGUGGAUAACCUGCCCUUAGGUUCGGCAUAACUCCGGGAAACUGGAGAUAAUUCCGAAUAGGUCACAUAUGCUGGAAUGCUUUUUGACCAAAAGACCUCGGUUGCCUAAGGAUGGAUCUGCGGUCUAUCAGGUAGUAGUGGGUGUAACGUACCUACUAG